GGGGCUAUAGCUCAGCUGGGAGAGUGCCUGGAUCGCACCCAGGAGGUCGCCGGUUCGAGCCCGGCUAGCUCCA
rnacentral:tRNA from 2 species